rnacentral:rRNA from 1 species
AAUAGAUACCCGGGUAGUCCACGCCGUAAACGAUGGAUACUAGCUGUUGGAGGUAUCGACCCCUUCAGUAGCGAAGCUAACGCGUUAAGUAUCCCGCCUGUGGAGUACGGUCGCAAGACUAAAACAUAAAGGAAUUGACGGGGACCCGCACAAGCGGUGGAUCGUGUUCUUUAAUUCGAUGAUAAACGAAGAACCUUACCAGGGCUUGACAUCCCAAGAAGGCUUCCGAAAGGAAACUGUGCCGUAAGGAACUUGGUGACAGAUGAUGCAUGGCCGUCGUCAGCUCGUGUCGUGAGAUGUUUGGUUAAGUCCAUUAACGAGCGCAACCCUUGUGAAUAGUUGUAUUUUUCUAUUCAGACUGCCCCGGUAACGGGGAGGAAGGAGGGGAUGAGGUCAGGUCUGUAUUUCUCUUACGUCCUGGGCUAGAAACACGAUACAAUGGCUAGUACAAUGCGCAGCGAAGCCGCGAGGUGGAGCAAAUCGCAUCAAAGCUAGUCCCAGUUCGGAUAAGAGGCUGAAACUCGCCUCUUGAAGUCGGAAUCGCUAGU